rnacentral:rRNA from 1 species
CCUACGGGAGGCAGCAGGGGGGAAUCUUGCGCAAUGGGCGAAAGCCUGACGCAGCCAUGCCGCGUGAAUGAUGAAGGUCUUAGGAUUGUAAAAUUCUUUCACCGGGGACGAUAAUGACGGUACCCGGAGAAGAAGCCCCGGCUAACUUCGUGCCAGCAGCCGCGGUAAUACGAAGGGGGCUAGCGUUGCUCGGAAUUACUGGGCGUAAAGGGCGCGUAGGCGGACAUUUAAGUCAGGGGUGAAAUCCCAGAGCUCAACUCUGGAACUGCCUUUGAUACUGGGUGUCUUGAGUGUGAGAGAGGUAUGUGGAACUCCGAGUGUAGAGGUGAAAUUCGUAGAUAUUCGGAAGAACACCAGUGGCGAAGGCGACAUACUGGCUCAUUACUGACGCUGAGGCGCGAAAGCGUGGGGAGCAAACAGGAUUAGAUACCCUGGUAGUCCACGCCGUAAACGAUGAUUGCUAGUUGUCGGGCUGCAUGCAGUUCGGUGACGCAGCUAACGCAUAAGC